rnacentral:rRNA from 1 species
UACGAAGGGAGCUAGCGUUGUUCGGAAUCACUGGGCGUAAAGCGCACGUAGGCGGAUGUGUCAGUCAGGGGUGAAAUCCCGGAGCUCAACUUCGGAACUGCCUUUGAUACAGCACGUCUUGAGUCCGAUAGAGGUGGGUGGAAUUCCUAGUGUAGAGGUGAAAUUCGUAGAUAUUAGGAAGAACACCGGUGGCGAAGGCGGCCCACUGGAUCG